rnacentral:rRNA from 1 species
AGCUCCAAUAGCGUAUAUUUUAGUUGUUGCAGUUAAAAAGCUCGUAGCCGUAUUUCUGGUGGGAGAAUGCAGUCCGACUUUAUGUCGGUACUCGCAUCCUCCGGCCAUCCUUGGGUCUAGCCAGUUUGGCAUUAAGUUGUCGAGCUGGGGAUGCCCAUCGUUUACUGUGAAAAAAUUAGAGUGUUCAAAGCAGACUUAUGUCGUUGAAUAUAUUAGCAUGGAAUAAUAAAAGAGGACAUCAGUGCUAUUUUGUUGGUUUGCGCACCGAUGUAAUGAUAAAUAGGAACAGUUGUGGGUAUUCGUAUUCAUUUGUAAGAGGUGAAAUUCUUAGAUUAAAGGAAGACGAACUACUGCGAAAGCAUUUAGCAGGGAUGUUUUCA